AUGUCACCUCAAGUAUCCGUGGGUAUGAUUAUACGAUAUGCAUCACACAAUCUCAUAUUCAUCUAUUCAACCAACACAAAGGACCUCAAAGAGUGCCCCAAAGUUCUACCGGAGAAUCACGACAAAAACGUGUGCCAACCCCUAUGCAUAGGUCAUGGGCGGAACCCGCAUGUUGAUCACCAAAACAUACAUCAAGUGAAUCACGUGGUAUCCUAUGACGCCCCCGAUUCAAUCAUACACGCAAACAUGUACGAUCAAGAUCACGGACUCACGGGAAGAUAUCACAACACAACUCUACAAAUAAAAUAA
rnacentral:rRNA from 1 species